CACAUGCAAGUCGAACGGCAGCACGGGGGCACCCUGGUGGCGAGUGGCGAACGGGUGAGUAACAUAUCGGAACGUGCCCUGGAGUGGGGGAUAACUAGUCGAAAGAUUAGCUAAUACCGCAUACGAUCUACGGAUGAAAGUGGGGGAUCGCAAGACCUCAUGCUCGUGGAGCGGCCGAUAUCUGAUUAGCUAGUUGGUGGGGUAAAGGCCUACCAAGGCAUCGAUCAGUAGCUGGUCUGAGAGGACGACCAGCCACACUGGGACUGAGACACGGCCCAGACUCCUACGGGAGGCAGCAGUGGGGAAUUUUGGACAAUGGGCGCAAGCCUGAUCCAGCAAUGCCGCGUGAGUGAAGAAGGCCUUCGGGUUGUAAAGCUCUUUUGUCAGGGAAGAAACGGUGAGGGCUAAUAUCCCUUGCUAAUGACGGUACCUGAAGAAUAAGCACCGGCUAACUACGUGCCAGCAGCCGCGGUAAUACGUAGGGUGCAAGCGUUAAUCGGAAUUACUGGGCGUAAAGCGUGCGCAGGCGGUUGUGCAAGACCGAUGUGAAAUCCCCGGGCUUAACCUGGGAAUGGCAUUGGUGACUGCACGGCUAGAGUGUGUCAGAGGGGGGUAGAAUUCCACGUGUAGCAGUGAAAUGCGUAGAGAUGUGGAGGAAUACCGAUGGCGAAGGCA
rnacentral:rRNA from 1 species